UACAGAGGUGGCAAGCGUUGUUCGGAAUUACUGGGCGUAAAGGGCGCGUAGGCGGCCUUCUAAGUCAGACGUGAAAUCCCCCGGCUUAACCUGGGAACUGCGUCUGAUACUGGGAGGCUUGAGUUUGGGAGAGGGAUGUAGAAUUCCAGGUGUAGCGGUGAAAUGCGUAGAUAUCUGGAGGAACACCGGUGGCGAAGGCGGCAUCCUGGACCGGCAUUGACGCUGAGGCGCGAAAGCCAGGGGAGCAAACGGG
rnacentral:rRNA from 1 species